CAAACCGUCGUCCUUGUUGCUGGAGAAGACCACCGGAGUUGCUGUUCUGGCUCUGGUCUAUUACUUUAUUUGAUUCUGUUCCAUUUACACACUUCCUUUGUCACUGCUAUCCUUGUUAACGAUUUGAUUUUUAGUACAUUCCUUGUCCUGAAUUUUCCAGAGUUGUGUUUGCUCUUGCUUCCUAUUCGAUUCAAAUCCUGUCCUGUUGCAACCAUCGCGUUGCCUUAGGAAAGUGAGACUGCUGUUAUUCCGAUUAAUGCUCCUACUGCUGCUGCUGAGAAGUGAUCAGAAAAGCCACUACUGUUAGUUCGGUUCAAGGUUGUUGUUGCCACUGCGAAUUAAAAAUAAAAGAAGGCUUUGUUGCGUUUGAUUAUCGAAUUUCGGCUAGUUGAGUGACACAGGUUCGAAGACUCUGUUUGAAGUUGCAGGCGAUUAUAGAUCUUAUUUAUGAGUUAAGUUUAUGACUUGAGUUAUUUUCAUAGAAUUUCCCUCGACCUUGUUACUUUGGUUUUUAUUUUAUGCAGAGAGAUAAGAUUUGUAUGUGAGUUUUAUUUGAAAUCCUUUGUAUGACAGAUAUUAUUAUUAAUAAUUAUGUGAUUAUUAUUA